rnacentral:rRNA from 1 species
AUUAGAGUUUGAUCAUGGCUCAGAUUGAACGCUGGCGGCAGGCCUAACACAUGCAAGUCGAGCGGCAGCGGGAAGAAGCUUGCUUCUUUGCCGGCGAGCGGCGGACGGGUGAGUAAAGUCUGGGAAACUGCCUGAUGGAGGGGGAUAACUACUGGAAACGGUAGCUAAUACCGCAUAAUCUCGCAAGAGCAAAGUGGGGGACCUUAGGGCCUCACGCCAUCGGAUGUGCCCAGAUGGGAUUAGCUGGUAGGUGGGGUAAAGGCUCACCUAGGCGACGAUCCCUAGCUGGUCUGAGAGGAUGACCAGCCACACUGGAACUGAGACACGGUCCAGACUCCUACGGGAGGCAGCAGUGGGGAAUAUUGCACAAUGGGGGAAACCCUGAUGCAGCCAUGCCGCGUGUGUGAAGAAGGCCUUAGGGUUGUAAAGCACUUUCAGCGGGGAGGAAGGGGUAGUGGUUAAUAGCCACUGUCAUUGACGUUACCCGCAGAAGAAGCACCGGCUAACUCCGUGCCAGCAGCCGCGGUAAUACGGAGGGUGCAAGCGUUAAUCGGAAUGACUGGGCGUAAAGCGCACGCAGGCGGUCUGUUAAGUUGGAUGUGAAAUCCCCGGGCUUAACCUGGGGAACGGCAUUCAAAACUGACAGGCUAGAGUCUCGUAGAGGGGGGGUAGAAUUCCAGGUGUAGCGGUGAAAUGCGUAGAGAUCUGGAGGAAUACCGGUGGCGAAAGCGGCCCCCUGGACGAAGACUGACGCUCAGGUGCGAAAGCGUGGGGAGCAAACAGGAUUAGAUACCCUGGUAGUCCACGCCGUAAACGAUGUCGACUUGGAGGCUGUGGUCUUGAACCGUGGCUUCCGGAGCUAACGCGUUAAGUCGACCGCCUGGGGAGUACGGCCGCAAGGUUAAAACUCAAAUGAAUUGACGGGGGCCCGCACAAGCGGUGGAGCAUGUGGUUUAAUUCGAUGCAACGCGAAGAACCUUACCAGGUCUUGACAUCCUUUGACCAUCCUAGAGAUAGGACUUUCCCUUCGGGGGCAAAGUGACAGGUGGUGCAUGGUUGUCGUCAGCUCGUGUCGUGAGAUGUUGGGUUAAGUCCCGCAACGAGCGCAACCCCUAUUGUUAGUUGCCAUCAUUAAGUUGGGCACUCUAACGAGACUGCCGGUGAUAAACCGGAGGAAGGUGGGGAUGACGUCAAAUCAUCAUGCCCCUUAUGACCUGGGCUACACACGUGCUACAAUGGAUGGUACAACGAGUCGCGAGACAGUGAUGUUUAGCUAAUCUCUUAAAACCAUUCUCAGUUCGGAUUGUAGGCUGCAACUCGCCUACAUGAAGUCGGAAUCGCUAGUAAUCGCGGAUCAGCACGCCGCGGUGAAUACGUUCCCGGGCCUUGUACACACCGCCCGUCACACCACGGGAGUUGGGAGUACCCGAAGUAGGUUGCCUAACCGCAAGGAGGGCGCUUCCUAAGGUAAGACCGAUGACUGGGGUGAAGUCGUAACAAGG